AUGAUCUGGGUGAGUGCGAGGAGGCGAGAGGGCGAGGGGGCCAGGGGGCCGAGGCGAGGAGCCUGGGGCGCCCGGUUCUCCCAGGUGAGCUGGGGCUACCUGCACAGGGUCCCGGCGCGCCCUGCCCUUCUCACCUCGUGCCCUUGACCGAGAGAAUGCCACCUGCGGGUCGACGGGCAGCUGCAGACAUUCAAUACUGCCUCACCUUGUCAAGAUGUCAAACAGCUGACUAGUGGAGUUGCCAUGGCACAAGUUCUUCAUCAAAUUGAUGCAGCUUGGUUUAACGAAUCUUGGUUAAGCCGAAUUAAAGAGGAUGUUGGGGACAACUGGAGAAUAAAGGCCAGUAAUGUAAAGAAGGUCCUUCAAGGAAUUAUGGGUUAUUAUCAUGAGUUUUUGGGGCAGCAGAUUUCAGAAGCACUUAUCCCUGAUUUAAACCAAAUAACCGAAUGUUCAGAUCCAGUGGAGCUUGGGAGGUUGCUCCAGCUUAUUUUAGGUUGUGCGAUCAACUGUGAAAAGAAGCAAGAACAUAUUCAAAAUAUAAUGACACUGGAAGAGUCUGUUCAACAUGUGGUCAUGACUGCUAUUCAAGAGUUGAUGAGUAAAGAAAUAUUGAGCUCUCCUCCAAAUGAUGCUGUUGGAGAAUUGGAGCAACAGCUUAAAAGAGCCUUGGAAGAACUUCAGGAAGCACUAGCAGAAAAAGAAGAGCUGAGGCAAAGAUGUGAAGAAUUGGAUAUGCAGGUGACUACACUUCAAGAUGAAAAGAAUUCACUGGUUUCUGAAAAUGAGAUGAUGAAUGAAAAACUUGACCAGUUGGAUGGCUCUUUUGAUGAUCCAAACACAGUGGUUGCAAAAAAGUAUUUUCAUGCACAAUUACAACUAGAACAAUUACAGGAAGAAAACUUCAGGCUUGAAGCUGCAAAAGAUGAUUACCGUGUUCACUGUGAAGAACUUGAAAAGCAGCUAAUCGAAUUCCAGCAUAGGAAUGAUGAAUUGACUAGUCUUGCAGAAGAAACAAGAGCCCUGAAAGAUGAAAUAGAUGUUCUUAGGGCUACCUCUGAUAAAGCAAAUAAACUGGAGUCAACAGUUGAGAUAUAUCGUCAGAAGCUACAAGAUCUGAAUGACCUUCGCAAGCAGGUGAAAACUUUACAGGAAACCAACAUGAUGUAUAUGCAUAAUACAGUCAGCUUAGAAGAAGAAUUAAAAAAAGCAAAUGCAGCACGUACACAAUUAGAAACAUACAAAAGGCAGGUUCAAGAUCUUCAUGUUAAACUUUCCUCCGAAUCCAAGAGGGCAGACACACUAGCGUUUGAAAUGAAGCGGCUUGAAGAAAAACACGAAGCUUUACUUAAGGAAAAAGAGAGACUAAUUGAGCAGCGUGAUACUUUGAAAGAAACAAAUGAAGAGCUUCGAUGUUCACAAGUACAACAGGACCACCUAAACCAAACAGAUGCAUCUGCUACAAAAAGUUAUGAGAAUCUUGCUGCUGAGAUUAUGCCAGUGGAAUAUAGGGAGGUGUUUAUUCGACUGCAACAUGAAAAUAAGAUGCUUCGCUUACAGCAAGAAGGCUCUGAGAAUGAACGUAUUGAGGAACUUCAGGAGCAGCUAGAACAGAAACACCGUAAAAUGAAUGAACUGGAAACUGAGCAGAGGCUGAGCAAAGAGCGUAUUAGAGAAUUGCAGCAGCAGAUUGAGGACCUCCAGAAAUCUUUACAGGAACAAGGUUCCAAGUCUGAAGGCGAAAGUUACAAAAGAUCAAUGAACUUGAAGCUGCUCUUCAGAAGAAAGAUGAAGAUAUGAAAGCAAUGGAGGAAAGAUAUAAAAUGUACUUGGAGAAAGCCAGAAAUGUAAUAAAAACUUUGGAUCCCAAGUUAAAUCCAGCAUCAGCUGAAAUAAUGCUACUAAGAAAGCAGUUGGCAGAGAAAGAGAGAAGAAUUGAGAUUCUGGAGAGUGAAUGCAAAGUAGCAAAAUUCCGUGAUUAUGAAGAAAAACUCAUUGUUUCUGCCUGGUAUAAUAAGAGUCUAGCAUUCCAGAAACUGGGGAUGGAAUCUAGACUUGUGAGCGGUGGUGGUGCCUGCAGUGACACUGGUGCGUGCACUCCUGCGCGGUCUUUCUUAGCACAGCAACGGCACAUCACCAACACCAGAAGAAAUCUCUCUGUUAAAGUCCCUGCUACAACAUCUGAUUAAACUGCAAAAAAAAAAAAAAAAAACAAAACAAAAAAACCACAUAAAAU
rnacentral:sRNA from 1 species